UACGUUCUAGUGUAAAGGCUCUCCAGCUCAUCAUCACAGUACAGCUGAUUGGUUACAGUCUCAUUACUGGACACAAGAAGGAAGUGCAGAUGGUGAAUGAAAUGACCAACAAAUGAUGUAAAGGGCAAUAUGAAAGCUGAUGUAAAAUGCAACCUAGAAGUUUAAAGGCAAUAAAACAUAAAAUAGGAAUACAAACAAGUUUACUGAUGACACAAAGCUGAAAGGAGUGGCUGAUAUCCCAGAGUGUUGUGCAGCCCUUCAGAAGGACUUCAACAGGUUGAAGAGAUGGGCAGAGAAAAACUGUCUGAAAUUUAACAAAGGCAA